AGGCAGGCGGAUCUCUGUGAGUUCGAGGCCAGCCUGGUCUACAAAGCAAGUUUCAGGACAGCCAGGACUGUUACAGAGAAACCCUGUCACAGAAAGAAAAAAAAAAAAAUACAAGGAAAAAGUCACCCUGAAAAUGAAUGUCCUGUCCUCUCACACUCAGUGACCUCUCCUUGAGCACAUCCAGUGACAAGGUCAACAUGAGUGAGGAUUUAUAGCGUGGACUCCACAUCCGCACCUCUGGUUGUCAACUUUCCCUGUAGGAGCUGUGUGCACAGUGCAUCUCAACGCUUGGAGCACAAAUCUUCCAGGUUUCUUCCACGACUUGCCCCGAUCUCUAGGACAUGGUCAUAGACUUGUACCAGGAAGGGAGCUGUAUUAAUUCUUAUCUGCCCCACCCUUAGAGUAAAUGCUUGAAACAGGAAGCAUUUCAGACUUUUGUUUUUUGGUUGUUUUUUUUUUUUUUUUUUAAUUCUUAGGGUAUUUGCAUAGAAUACAGGUUGGGCUUCACUAAUCCGAAGAGAUGAAACUAUCUGUUUCAGACUACGGAAGCCAAUUGUAUCCACUUACACUGUUGAUGGAAACUAAGGCAUAUCUAGGAAGGAGAGAGAAUAGAUUGCUUCCCCACCACCCACCCCAAGACAGGGUUUCUCUCUGUAGCGUUGACUGUCCUGGGACUCACCCUGAAGACUAGGCUGGUCUUAAACUCAGAAAUCCUGCCUGCCUCUGCCUCUCGAGUGCUGGGAUUAAAGGCGUGCUCCACCAAUGCCUGAUUGGAGUUCUACUUACUUUUAAUGCAGGGGCAUCUACAAGAACAUUGAGUAUUCUUAGCCAUCAAGCAAUCUCUCGAACUGUUUUCUCUCUGCCCAUUGGGUCCCUGCAGCUGCUAUGAAAUAUCCACUCCUAGGCUUAAUAUCAGUUACAAUUGUUUGGCUGAUGGCUCAGGCUUCUUAUUGCCUAGCUCUCUCUUAAUUAUUAACCCAUUUCUAUUAAACUGUGUAUCACCAGAUGGCCUUGGCUUACCGAGGUGAUGCCCUGGGAUCUUGUUUCCCUGGUGACUACAUGGUCUCUCAUCACUCUGUCUUCCUUCUCCUUGCCUCUUUGUUCAAAAUUUCCAUCUAACUAAAUUCUGUCUGUCCAUUUGCCAAAACAACUUUAUUCAUUAACCAAUUAAAACAACACACAUAGUCAUGACAUACAAAGGACAUCCCCAUGUCUCCAGAGGAGGCGUAUCAGAAAUCUGACCCAUCCAUUUGCCAAUAAACAAUGAGGACAACUCUGGAAAAACAAUGUCCUUGCUUGCAGAUGGAAAUCAAGUUGACACAUGUCAUUUCUAAGUUCCACUAAGGAAUGUUAAGGAGGCAGGAAAUUGAGCACGAGUGACUAGGUAUUUCAGAUAGCAGUCAGGGAAGGCCACUUUGAAGAGGUAACGUUUACACAGUGACUGGAGGGUUGGACAUGCUGGCAUAUGUCUUUAAUCCCAGCACCCAGGAGGCAUGUGGAUCUCUUAAGUUCGAGACAAGCUAGGACUUUAUGGAAAGAUCUUUUUCUCAAACAAACCCCAAAUAAACUAGGGAGUGUGUCAUGUGUCAUCUAGAGAGAGACCAUUUGUGUGGAGGGUUGAACACUGCAAAGGUCCCACAUGAGUGUGUAUGUCAUAUCUGAGGAAAGUAAGCCAGUGUAGAUGGAAUAAAGAACUUUGGGGGUGGGACUAUAGAUUAGAAGUAGAGCAUUUUCCUAGCAUGAACAAGGCUCUAAGUUCAAUUCCCAGGACUCUGUUUCCAAAAGGGGCAGGGAAUUUGGAUGCAUUUUGUUUGAAUAGGAUAGGUAGUGGGACAAAAGUGCCAUAGGUUCUAAAAGAGUGUUUGGUAUACCAACCAAAAACAAAGGGGGGAGGCCAGGGCCCCAAAAAUGGAGCUUAUACACAUAAAAUUAAAAUAAACAUAUGUUUUGAAAAAGGAACUUCUGCCUUAAUGUUGGUAACUUAGAAAGCCUGAGUCGGUCACUCAAGGGAAAUUGUUGAAGGGCAGGGGGGUGAUUCGGAAUUAGAAGUCAGUCGGCAUUGGGAAGGUGAAGCCGAGCACAGUGUCAGUGGGUGGGUGGAGCUCAGUGAUUUGCCAGAGGAUGGUUUUUUUUUUUUCCGUUUUUAAUUGCAGCUGCCUUUUAGCUAGGUUUUCCUAUUCAGCACCUGCCACUCCACCGCUGCUACCAGCAGUAGCUAGGCCGCAAGAGCCAAAGCCUGAGGGAACAGAAUUUCCAGAAUUCCCUCUGGCACAGACUCUUUCAAAUCUACUAAGAAAGCUUAUUUAAAUCUCUGUCCUGCUAAAGAACUCAAGAUGCAAAGGUUGAGGUAGAAGAAUCCUGCCUCCUGGACAGGCUGAAUCCCAGCAGCUGCCUAACUCACCUCCCCAGUCUCCCAAGAAGUCCAUGGGCUUGUGCUUGUCCCUCCUUAUAAACCCUUCUCCACCUGGCUGCUCCCUACAACUUCCUGUCAGUGAGUUGAUGACCCAGCCUCCUGACUGCAGGUGAAUUUUAUUUAAUCAAACACAUCUUUGCAUCAUUAAACCAAAGUUACAGAGCAUAAGCAAAAGUAACACACCUUAAAAACAAUAUUCUAUCUACAACGUACACCCAUUGCUCUAGCAACGCCACUUUUUAGGGUGAGAGUCUUGUUUCAUGGAUCUGUCACCAGCUUUCCUCUGGCCAUUUAAAAAAAAUAUUUUCUUGAUGGGAGGCCAUGGCACACGCCUUUAAUCAUAGCACUCAGGAGGCAGAGGCAGGUGGAUCUCUGUGAGUUUGAAGCCAGCCUGGUCUACAAAGUGAGUUCCAGGACAGCCAAGGCUACACAAACUCUGACUCAAAAAGAAAAAAAAAUCUUUAUUUUUUAAAAUUAUAAUUCCAUCUUUCCCUAUUUCCUUUUCUCUAUCCAAUCCUUCCCAUGUACUCUCUUGCUCCCUAUCAAAUUCAUGGUCUCUUUUUCUUUGUUGUACACACACACACACACACACACACACACACACACACACACACACACACACGUCCUAAGUACAAUCUUAGUGUUACUUGCAUAUGUAUGGUUGAGGCUUUUUGAACUUUCCCCUUCCAUAUUAGUGUGGCCGCUGGUAUUGUUCAGGUCAGGCAGCCAUGCUGGUGAGACUUCAGGGGUGUCUGAUUAUUUUUUAAAUUUACUCCCAUAGAGCUCAAAGGGAGAUGAGCAUUUUCUUCCCAACCAGGCUGUGGUUUUCCCCAAGGAUCCUAUCACUUCCACAUCACCAAGGUGUGGUCGCUGUUGGUCAGACUUGAAGCCUCCUCUCAUGGCCAUUUUGCUUUCUAAGAAGAGAUGUCAUGAUUCAGCUGUUCUUUGUAAUAGAAGGGGGAUUCUGCAGCUCCUGGUCCAAACUGCUUAUCUGCCAGUAAGCAUCUUCCUGAGAAAGGGCAUACCAGCAUCAGGAGCAUCAGCCCUGGCUGUGGCCUGUAGAGCAUCUGGAGGCUUCACGCCUGAGCCAAUACACUCCAGCAAUGUGAAGAGGGUGGCCCAGUCGUCACCCGAGUGGAUGUUGGCUGCAUUGGUCUUGAGGAGUUCAUGGAGCCCGUAGGCAACCUGGUGGCUGACCCUGGACAGCACGCUGGGCUUCAUCAGUAACAAGAUGCGCAGGGACAGCAGGACCUGGGAUGGGACAGACACAGAUACAGUUUCCUGACUUAUCUUCCCCAUUAAACACUUAGGUCGUGAGGAGAGUUUGGCUUAGAUUUAACUGUU